AUUGAACGCUGGCGGCAGGCCUAACACAUGCAAGUCGAGCGAGCGGCGGACGGGUGAGUAAUGUAUGGGGACUGCCCGAUAGAGGGGGAUAACUACUGGAAACGGUAGCUAAUACCGCAUACUAUCGGAUAACCCAUAUGGGAUUAGCUAGUAGGUGAGUGAAUGGCUCACCUCGACGACGAUCCCUAGCUGGUCUGAGAGGAUGAUCAGCUACACUGGGACUGGUGAACGGCCCAGACUCCUCCGGAGGAAGCCGUGGGGAAUAUUGCACAAUGGGCGCAAGCCUGAUGCAGCCAUGCCGCGUGUAUGAAGAAGGCCCUAGGGUUGUAAAGUACUUUCAGUCGGGAGGCGUUACCGACAGAAGAAGCACCGGCUAACUCCGUGCCAGCAGCCGCGGUAAUAC
rnacentral:rRNA from 1 species